CAAAGUGCUGAGAUUACAGGCAUGAGCCACCUCGCCCAGCUGUUUUUAAUUCUCUAAGUUAUCAUUUGCCAUCUCCUUGGCCCUUUGUAGUAAUUCCCCUCCCUUUUUUGUUUUUCUGUGUCCAUCUUUCCCAUUCCAAAUACUUGAUGUAAAGGGAGAUUCCACCUUGAAAACCAGAGUUCCAGUCCUGGCUUGCUGCUACACUCUACUGCUGACCUUGAUCUUGACCUUGACCUUGUCUGCAUUUAUUUCUUUGAUGAGGAGGGCAGACAGAAAAACAUUGCUAUAGUGCUUAAUUUUUUUUUAUUACAAAAGAAAAUGAAGAAAAUAAUUCAAACUAUAGCAGAAACAUGAAAAAGGGAAAAGUGAGUCUUCACUAUUUGUCUCCUUCAGUAACCAUAUUUAUUUGGGUAUAUUCUUGCAUGUUUUUACGGCAAAAACAAAUUCAACAGAUAUAUAUAUAUACUAUUAUGGAACCCUUUUUAUUUUCCUUUGAACUUAACUACGUAGCAUUCUCUGAUAAGUAAUGUAAGCUCCAGACAGCAAGGAUUUUUGACUGCUUCAUUCACUGCUAUAUUUCUGGAGACUAGAAUACUGUUUGGCAUAAAGUAGGUGCCAACAAAUAUUCACUGAACGCACCAGACGUGGUGGCUCACGGCUGUAAUCCUAGCACUUUGGGAGGCCAAGACGAGCAGAUCACUUGAGGCCAGGAGUUCAAGACCAGCCUGACCAACAUGGUGAAACCCCGUCUCUAUUAAAAAUACAAAAAUUAGCCAGGUAUGGGGGCGCAUACCUGUAAUUCCAGCUACUCCAGUGAGUAUCUGGACAGGGGAAUCGCUUAAACCUAGGAGGCGAAGGCUGCAAUGAGCCAAGAUUGCACCACUGCACUCCAGCCUGAGCAACAGAGUGAGACUCUGUCUCAAAAAAAAAAAACUUAAAAAUUAAAAAAAAAAAAAAAAACAGAAGGGGACCAAAUAUACACAUCCCUGGCUCCAUGGAACUCCCAGUUGACCUGACGGAAAAAAAAAAAAAGAAGAAGUAGUAUAUAUACAUAUA
rnacentral:lncRNA from 1 species